rnacentral:rRNA from 1 species
UACAUAGGUCGCAAACGUUAUCCGGAAUUAUUGGGCGUAAAGGGUGCGUAGAUGGUUCAGUAAGUUACUGGUGGGAAAUCGAGGCCCAACCUCGUGGAAGUUAGUAAUACUGUUGAACUUGAGUGCAGGAGAGGUUAACGGAACUUCAUGUGGAGCGGUAAAAUGCGUAGAUAUAUGAAAGAACAUCAAUAUGGCGAAGGCAGUUAACUAUUCUGCUACUGACAUUGAGGCAUGAAAGCGUGGGGAGCAAAACGG